rnacentral:rRNA from 1 species
UACGUAGGGUGCAAGCGUUAUCCGGAAUUAUUGGGCGUAAAGAGCUUGUAGGCGGUUUGUCGCGUCUGCCGUGAAAUUUCGAGGCUCAACCUCGAACUUGCGGUGGGUACGGGCAGACUAGAGUGUGGUAGGGGAGAUUGGAAUUCCCGGUGUAGCGGUGAAAUGCGCAGAUAUCAGGAAGAACACCCGUGGCGAAGGCGGCUCUCUGGGACGGUACUGACGCUGAGACGCGAAAGCGUGGGGAGCGAACAGG